UGCACUUUCCAAGUAAGUGGCGAACGGGUGAGUAACACGUGAAUAACCUACCUCAAAGUCUGGGAUAACCAUUGGAAACAGUGACUAAUACCGGAUAAAACCCAAGUGCACAUGCACUAAGGUUAAAAGCUGCGUUUGCAGCGCUUUAAGAUGGAUUCGCGGUGCAUUAGUUAGUUGGUGAGGUAAAGGCUCACCAAGACGAUGAUGCAUAGCCGAGUUGAGAGACUGACCGGCCACAUUGGGACUGAGACACGGCCCAAACUCCUACGGGAGGCUGCAGUAGGGAAUCUUCCACAAUGGGCGCAAGCCUGAUGGAGCAACGCCGCGUGUGUGAUGAAGGCUUUCGGGUCGUAAAGCACUGUUGUAUGGGAAGAACGGGUUUAAGAGGAAAUGCUUAGACAGUGACGGUACCAUACCAGAAAGGGACGGCUAAAUACGUGCCAGCAGCCGCGGUAAUACGUAUGUCCCGAGCGUUAUCCGGAUUUAUUGGGCGUAAAGCGAGCGCAGACGGUUGCUUAAGUCUGAAGUGAAAGCCCACAGCUCAACUGUGGAAUGGCUUUGGAAACUGGGCAACUUGAGUACAGUAGAGGUAAGUGGAACUCCAUGUGUAGCGGUGGAAUGCGUAGAUAUAUGGAAGAACACCAGUGGCGAAGGCGGCUUACUGGACUGCAACUGACGUUGAGGCUCGAAAGUGUGGGUAGCAAACAGGAUUAGAUACCCUGGUAGUCCACACCGUAAACGAUGGAUACUAGUUGUUAGAGGGUUUCCGCCCUUUAGUGACGAAGCAAACGCAUUAAGUAUCCCGCCUGGGGAGUACGACCGCAAGGUUGAAACUCAAAGGAAUUGACGGGGACCCGCACAAGCGGUGGAACAUGUGGUUUAAUUCGAAGCACCGCGAAGAACCUUACCAGGUCUUGACAUCCUUUGAAGGUACUAAAGAUAAUACUGUC
rnacentral:rRNA from 1 species